GAUAUAAUAAGAUCGUAUUUUAUAAGAAUACUAUAGCAAUAAAAGCACUUUAUAAUAGGUGUAAUGGACCCGAGGGCAGUUCUCGGCGUCUCCACCACUUUUGUAUGGGGACGAGGUAGGAUCGACAUGCAUAGUAAAAAAAGUAGCCAUUGCUCGGGAAGAUAUCUCCGUAAGAAUUCACAUUUUAAGUGCAAACGAUAAUGUUGCAAGUGAAGGAAGUGAGUCUGCAGUUGCUGCAUAAUUCAGCACAAUAGACUUAUUACUUUACACGGUUUUAGGGAAAGCACCGGGUAACAGAAGUCUUUCCCUAUUUAUGUUAAGUAAAUGCUAAU
rnacentral:tmRNA from 1 species